AGAAAAUUGAGGAAUCGUUGUGUAUUUCAGGUAUGGAAGAUAGAAAUCUAUUCCACUAAAAUGAGAAAGACAGUGAAGUCUCUGAAGAAAACUGCUUUAACUCAGCUGACCAGAAGAUGAUGGUGAAACUGAGUUAUGUCUUUCCUGAGACCAGGCUGUUGAGUGACUGGAAACGUUCCUGAAGAGUGUAUCCUGUGACAGGUCUGACAACUGUGACCAAGCUUAUUUGUAAAGAUUUGCUGCAUCCAUGCAAGGGAAAAGCAGAGCAGUUGGCCAUCAGCUAGGAAAAGCAGGAAGAACCAAACAGAAGACUUUCUGAAACAGACAUAGAGUGUAUUUCUCCCAGAAUACAAUAAUAGGACUUCUCUGCCACUGUAAAAAAAACAGCAUGAGGAGGCACCUGACUUAAAAGAGCAUGCAGACUAAUGACUUUAGUCUUGAAGACUUUUAUUUGCCCUCAUACUGUAGAGAAUUUAGGCACAAUCUGAUUUAUGGAUGAUGUUCUGCAGGUGGGUU